rnacentral:rRNA from 1 species
UACAGAGGGUGCAAGCGUUGUUCGGAAUUAUUGGGCGUAAAGAGUGUGUAGGCGGUGCUCUAAGUUCGGUGUGAAAUCUCCCGGCUUAACUGGGAGGGUGCGCCGGAAACUGGAGUGCUUGAGCGCGGGAGAGGAAAGCGGAAUUCCUGGUGUAGCGGUGAAAUGCGUAGAUAUCAGGAGGAACACCUGUGGUGUAGACGGCUUUCUGGACCGUAGCUGACGCUGAGACACGAAAGCGUGGGUAGCAAACAGG